rnacentral:sRNA from 1 species
CUCUGGCAACAGAGCGUGGGAUGCCGGAAAGUUGGUCAAACUUGAUCAUUUAGAGGAAGUAAAAGUCGUAACAAGGUUUCCGUAGGUGAACCUGCGGAAGGAUCAUUACCGAUCAAGCACAACUUUUGUUUGCCCUGUGAACCGUCCUGGUGCUAUUUGAGGGGUCGGGCUCUGGCCCGUUAAAUGGCCAUCGGACGCCAGGCGCACGGGCUGUGUGUCUGGCGGCCGCUUGGCCUGCCCCGCCCGUGUUUUUCUUUUGGAACGUGUCUUGUCUGAAUAAAGUAGCUGUCGAGCCCUUGGCGGCUCGACCUGUAGCUGUCGAGCUCAAAAAGAAUGGACAACUUUUGACGGUGGAUCUCUUGGCUCACGCAUCGAUGAAGAACGCAGCCAGCUGCGAUAAGUAGUGUGAAUUGCAGAAUUCAGUGAAUCAUCGAAUCUUUGAACGCAAAUGGCGCUCUUGGGUUCUCCCAGGAGCAUGUCUGUCUGAGUGUCGGAUUGGUCAUAGAUCGCCGGAGCUCACCGGCUCCGGCGGCGUUGAGGCGUCACGGCACCAACCAACCAACCUCGGUGGGGGCCGUGUCCCUCGAAAGGCAGAGAGACUCGCUGUGGUUCCGGGGGCUUUAGCUCCCCGCAGUGCACCAGCGGAAGCCAAAGAGCUUCAGCACUAACCUUCGCGCGCUGCCGGGAUCCCCGCCGCGGCCAGGUCGCCUGUAAAGCGAAAAAAAGCAGCGUCAAGCGCCGCUUCUUCUCUUGACCUCAGAUCAGGCAAGGCUACCCGCUGAAUUUAAGCAUAU